rnacentral:pre_miRNA from 1 species
AUAGUACUCCUUCCGUCCCGAAUUAAUUGUCUUAGAUUUGUCUAGAUACGGAUUUAUCUAGACACGUUUUACUGUUAGAUACAUCCGUAUCUAGAGAAAUCUAAGACAAGUAGUAAUUAGGGACGGAGGUUUUAGUUC